UUGAACUUAGGAUAAAUCACUUGAACUUUUCAAAGUUGAUUUGAAGUGAUUUUGAAGUUUGACCUUUCUUUAAUAUUUUAAUUCAAGUUUAUUUUAAAUAUUAAAAAGGCCCAAAAAUAUUUUGUUCAUUUUCUUGACUUCCAAUCUUCAUCUCACUUCUGUUUUUUUUAUUGUUUGACCAUGAUCCUCAAUGUCAUUGGUCAACACUUGUUGAUUGGUA
rnacentral:lncRNA from 1 species